UAUUGCACAAUGGGCGCAAGCCUGAUGCAGCCAUGCCGCGUGUAUGAAGAAGGCCUUCGGGUUGUAAAGUACUUUCAGCGGGGGGGAAGGGAGUAAAGUUAAUACCUUUGCUCAUUGACGUUACCCGCAGAAGAUGCACCGGCUAACUCCGUGCCAGCAGCCGCGGUAAUACGGAGGGUGCAAGCGUUAAUCGGAAUUACGGGGCGUAAAGCGAACGCAGGCGGUUUGUUAAGUCAGAUAUGAAAUCCCCGGGCUCAACCUGGGAACUGCAUCUGAGACUGGCAAGCUUGAGUCUCGUAGAGGGGGAUAGAAUUCCAGGUGUAGCGGUGAAAUGCGUAGAGAUCUGGAGGAAUACCGGUGGCGAAGGCGGCCCCCUGGACGAAGACUGACGCUCAGGUGCGAAAGCGUGGGGAGCGAACAGG
rnacentral:rRNA from 1 species